UUUUGAAUUUGUUAAAACAGUUUUACCUUGUCUUCGAAAUGUUAAAAUUGUUUAAAAAUGGUCGACGGCCCAUGGCCUUUUGAAACUUGAGCCCUGAUUCCAUGGAAAUGACUUUAUCACAUUGCUGAUGCCUGCCUUUAAAAAGGAUUUUAGAAGUAUAGAAUCAGCUCCACGAUGGUGGAAAACGGUAUCCGAAUUCCACGCUCAAUUUUAUUAAAACCUUUGCGGUCGUACAAAAGGUCAUUGUACUCAGAAAAAUAAGCUCUAUCGUUGUGAAUAAAUAAUAUCGCCAAUUUAAGGUCAAUGAUGAUUCAAAAUUCAGUAUCCACAAAUAGUAAAUUGAAAUGAAAAUAUAAUCACUAUCACUAUUGUAGAUUUGAUUUUUAAUCACCUCUCCGACAUCAGGAAUAAUUGUUUGAACAUGCUCGCAAAUUUUUUAUACUGUCGGAAAAAUAUUAUUUUUCUUGAAAAAAGUUUCAUUUUUAACCAUAUGAUCACCCCUAAUUCUGGUUCGACGCCGCCAUCACGCGACCGCGUGCUCCGUUUGUUUGCCAACAAAGCUGCAGCUGGAUGGUGAGACGAAGUAAGAGGGGGAGAGGUUUUGACAUUUUUAUGCCCGCAUCUGGCCCGCCUCCUAUUUCGUCGGUCGUUGAGCCGACAGUGGUCGUUUCCAACGACCGAGUCCAGCAAGGUACUGAUCGUACAAUAUUCUUAGCAGGCUUAUUCAUGGGGUCACGCAGAAAAAAGUUUUGUAGAAUCAGCCUGUACAAGGUUUAAAUCAACAAAAUUUUUGUUGAAUAUAAUCAACGCCGAUUUUGCGUUGAAACAAACCUUGAUUUUAUCGAUUCCACAAAAUUCUUUUGUUGUUUUGAAAAAGCUGGUUUGACGUUUAGCGUUGAUUCAACAAAAAUUUUGAUUUUCAAAUCAACAAAACGUUUUUUUGAUUCAAAUAUGCCUUAUUUUUCUGCGUGGUGUAACAGGCAGCGAUCAAUCGCAAAAUAAUGCCAUUUGAUGAGGGCGUAAGUGUUUUAAAUAUUUUUGUAUUUAAUUUAAAUUUUCUUUAAGCUGUUGCAUCGUACCAAAAAGUGCUCAAAGACAAACUUGUAGGAAAUUUGACGGACUUUCUGCAAAAAAACGUAAAGAAAAAACACGUAACUUUAAUGCGAUUUUUUGAUUUUUAAGUUUCAAAGUCAAAUUUGAAGGUGAGCUCUCGUUUUUUGGUGAGAAUAGCCUAAGGCGUCAUCCAUAAAGUAUGUCACGCAAACAUCGGCCAAAUGUGAUUAAGCUUAUAUUUGUGAGUGGUGGUCAAAGGCAAAAAAAAAAUCGUGAGUCUUUUUGUAACACCUUCGCCUAUUUCCACAAAGAAAUUCACGAAGAAAAAUCGCUUAAAAGUGGCGUGUUUUUUUUUCUAUCAGUGUAUUUUUUUCAGAAGGCCCGUAAAAUUUCCUACAAGUUUGUCUUUGAGCACUUUUUGAUUCGAUCCAACGGUUUCGAGAUACAGCAUAAUUUAUAUUGCGAAUUACAAAAAUAUUGAAAACACUUAAGCCCUUAUCAAACGUCAUAAUCGAGUGUAACUGGUUCCAUAUACACAAAACUGUCUUAUGUAUAGGUAUAAGCGAAAGAUAACAUGUCUACAAAGUUUCUCUCUCUAUGUAAAAUGCUUCAACAAACAACACAAAGAAAACCAUUUUUUGAUUGAUAAUUCUGGAUGGAGAAGAAUUGAGGUUUGAUUCGACGCAAAAUUUUGUUGAUUAAAUUCAACAACACAUUUUGUUGAAUCAAACCUCAUACAGGCUGAUUUUUCAAAACAUUUUUCUGCGUGAAGAAAUUUUUUGAUUGUUCUAGAGGACAAAACCGCACCUAUAGAAAAGUAUAGACCAAAAUUUUGCUGCAAAGUUUUGAUUAAAAAAAAAUACUCGAAAAAUUUUAUUGACCUAUUUUUUGAAAUUUUAAAUCGAAAAGUACUUACAGAUUUUUUGGGGGGAGUUGUCCACGUGCUUCCAUCCCGCCAGUCCAUAUGUAUGGCAUUAGCGAGGGGAAUGUCACUCCGCGAUAACACACUAAAACGCACAAAAACGAGCUCGAAAAGCAUCAACGCUACUCAUCGUGCCGAGUUUUCACAUAACGCCACCUUAAAGCAAGUUAUCGCAGGUUAACGCGCGUUAAAGCGAGUUAAAGCGGUCAGCGUCUGCUCGAUUUUUGAACCAAACCAAAUCGAUCUUGCAACCCUGCCGUCAUUUUCGAGUAGUUUUUUUUCGGGUUUGGCAACCCGUUCUUUGUUUUGAUUAUUUUCCUGCAGUUUUCGUAAAUAAACAGCAAUCUGUGAGUUUAAUUUUUUUGCCCACUCGGUGGCGAAACCGCUGCAGGUUUUCCGCCCCGCUGGUGGUUUCACGGGGCAGGUGGAAUCGUCCCGAGUCCGAGGUACGAGGAGAUGUUUGAACCGACGGCAGGUCCGGAGAAUCCGGGUUUGACGGAGCAGAUGCGGGAGCCGAAUAAUAUUCUUCAGGGUUUGUGGAGGCGGAACAUAUUAGUGACUUUCAAUUUGAGAACCAGCGAAAGACGGUCCACAGUUACUAAGGGGCGCGUUUGAUCCGUUGGUGGAGGAAGGACCUAGUGGAGGUGGUGGGGCACUUGCAGGCCGCGUACGACACGAACGGGAAGACGGUGUUUGAAUCUUCUAUAGUGAAUCGGGCGGGGGAUAAGAGAAAAAAGUUGAAAAUCGACAAUCCGGGAGAAGUUGGUGGAGUUUUUGGACUGUGAGGCGAGAACGAGGAACUUGUUUCGAGGCCGAGCCGGUUGUGAUCGAAGAGAUGAUGGCCACGAAGCAGCACCGGAACCGCAUGACUGAGGAUAAGCCGAACGAGUACAUGCUGCACAACAAGGACUUGGAAGCUAUCUUGGGCGAUCGUUUCUGCAUCGCCGCAUGAUGUCGUAGUCAAUCUGGGCCGAUGUGGUGCCCCGAACAGUGCUUCCUGCUAGUGGCGGGAACGUCCGACGUCCGAUAAGAUUAUUUGGUGGGGCACCUGCAGUGGUGACUUCGUCCAGGAGUAUGAACGACAUCUGGGCGCGGUAAACUCGAUCACCUUCAACGACUAAAACCAGCUCUUGACGACCUCCGACGACGGCAUGGCUUGGCGUCGGCAAAGUCUACAUCUGUUUCACGACCUGUACGAGCAGCUGAGUGCCUACACCAACAGCAUCGCCGUGCGCUGAUUCUUGAGUUUCUCCUGCUCCUCGCAGAUACGAUUAGUUUAGUGGAGGGAGGUCCACUGUUGAAUCUGGACCACCGCGAGGACAGCAACAAUAGUAAUGGUUUGCCGGCACCGGUGCCUAUGCUGGCGGAUUUCUUCAAGGACAGGCAACUCCAAGCUGAAAAUUCCCGAGCCCGACCCCAUCUAAGGGACUCUUCCGCGCAGUGAAGUUACGAUUGGUUCAACAUGAUGCCCAAAAAGAUGAAUCACCGACACAAGUCCUAAGGUCUGAAAAGUGCUGCUGCUGUUCCGUCUGCGCCAGAUCAACAACCACCAUCCUCAAGCUGAACAUGGCCAUCAAGAAAAUGCUGCGCAUCGCCGAUCCGUACUUCACUUACGGCUACUUCUCACUCUAGUCGAUCCGCCACCUGGUCUAAAAGCGUGACUCCGUCAAGCACCGACAUUGCUGCAUCACAAUCACGGACAAGAUCGAGCGCUGAACGCACUCAACCAGCUGGGCAGCAUUCAGAGAAAGAUCAACGGCUCAAACGGCAAGGGCGGUAACUCCAAACUGGACGUUCUCAAGCACUGGUCUCGCGCACUGUUCCCACCCCGCGGCACAUUUGUCCCGCAGCCUCCUUAGUUCGAUAUGAUUUUGUACACUUAAUUGAAUAAAAUCCUGUUUUUCUGUUGACAUUGUUUAUUUCAUUAUAGCAUAAGAUUUAUUUAUGCAUUUACACAAUAAUUAAGAGCGAUUCUACUAUCAGAAUCCACCUGAAAUUUUCAGGGGUUGUACGGACAUAUAUAACUAGCAUCUGGGGCUAAAUUUGAGCACCCACACGUCUUCAUCAGCAUUUCAGGUUGUACAGGUAAAUCUUCGUUUUACUCCUUGUCGGCCACGUCCGGCAUGUGGCCGAGUUCUUUACCAAGAAGCUCAAGCAGGAUUCACCGCCGCUGUUGGACGCAACUGCGACGGUCUCCGGAACAACGGGAGCCUGUACCGGCUGCAGUUGAUGCUGUCCUCCGAGCUGGUAAACGCGCCCCUAUGCGUUGUAGUUGUUCACGGCCAUUCUCUCAAUCAUGCCGUCCUGUAGGGUGAAGAAAAAACAAUUAGAGCUAAAACUAAAGUAAGAAUAGUGUUUGACUAGCUCUGAGAGAUUCCGGCCGGUUCCGAUUAGCACAAAAACAGAUGUUCGAACGCUUCGCCCUGAUUUUCACCAGCCAGCUCAAGGAUCUGAUUGGCAACCUGUUCUCCUCUGGCCUUUCGAUUCCUGGCGAACACUUCUCCCACACAAACACACACACUGAAAAGGCUGUCUCCACCACGAAAGCGACGAAAGACUCGAAUCUCUGGAACAGGAACCCUUCGCAGGAGCAGAAAACGGUUCCGACGGAUAAUCUGUCUCCACCGGUUUUGCUCUCCCCUGGUUCAUCGUCGUACAGCUCCGUUGGCAGGCUCUUCGCACCCAACACCGGCCCGGAACACGCCCGUUUUCAUUAAUCUUCCGUCCGGAAGUUGCAAUCUUUGAAGCCGAAUCUUGCUUCCUCCGUCCGGUGACGGAGAAAAUAUUAGCAAAACAAACUGCUCGAUUAAUUUGACAACGAGAACUGUCAUUUGCUCUUGACAGUUCUCGCUGUCAAAAAAAUCGAGCAGUGUGAUGCGAGAACGCAAGAAAAUUUAAGCCAAAAAGCAAGUUAUCGCGGUGUUGAGUACCCCUCGUUUGAGUACUAGUCAAAUGACAGCACAAAUACAUGUAACGCGCGUUCUCUAACUUACCUUAAAUAAACGAGCUUGUGCUCUAUUCGGCCUCUUUCAACGCUGAAACUCUAACUGAUAACAGCUCGUCUUUUCCUGCUCCGCAAAUCACAACUUCAACGCUUUCCCCGGUUAUAUUAAGUGGCGACGGGGAUAAAGGUGUAAUUUUUUUUUACUACGUGCGGUG